rnacentral:rRNA from 1 species
UACCAGCACCCCGAGUGGUCGGGACGUUUAUUGGGCCUAAAGCAUCCGUAGCCGGUUCUACAAGUCUUCCGUUAAAUCCAACUGCUUAACAGGUGGGCUGCGGAAGAUACUAUAGAGCUAGGAGGCGGGAGAGGCAAGCGGUACUUUAUGGGUAGGGGUAAAAUCCGCUGAUCCAUAGAAGACCACCAGUGGCGAAGGCGGCUUGCCAGAACGCGCUCGACGGUGAGGGAUGAAGCUGGGGGAGCAAACCGG